rnacentral:rRNA from 1 species
GCAUAUCAAUAAGCGGAGGAAAAGAAACCAACAGGGAUUGCCCUAGUAACGGCGAGUGAAGCGGCAACAGCUCAAAUUUGAAAUCUGGCUCUCUUUGGGGGUCCGAGUUGUAAUUUGCAGAGGAUGCUUUGGCAUUGGCGGCGGUCUAAGUUCCUUGGAACAGGACAUCGCAGAGGGUGAGAAUCCCGUACGUGGGCGCCUGCCUUUGCCGUGUAAAGCUCCUUCGACGAGUCGAGUUGUUUGGGAAUGCAGCUCUAAAUGGGAGGUAAAUUUCUUCUAAAGCUAAAUACCGGCCAGAGACCGAUAGCGCACAAGUAGAGUGAUCGAAAGAUGAAAAGUACUUUGGAAAGAGAGUCAAAAAGCACGUGAAAUUGUUGAAAGGGAAGCGCUUGCAGCCAGACUUGCCCGCAGUUGCUCACCUAGGCUUUGGCCUGGGGCACUCUUCUGCGGGCAGGCCAGCAUCAGUUUGGGCGGUCGGACAAAGGCCUCUGUCAAGUAUCUCCCUUCGGGGUGACCUUAUAGGGGAGGCGUAAUGCGACCAGCCCGGACUGAGGUCCGCGCAUCUGCUAGGAUGCUGGCGUAAUGGCUGUAAGCGGCCCGUCUUGAAACACGGACCAAGGAGUCUAACAUCUAUGCGAGUGUUUGGGUGUCAAGCCCGGGCGCGCAAUGAAAGUGAACGGAGGUGGGAACCCUUUGGGUGCACCAUCGACCGAUCCUGAUGUCUUCGGAUGGAUUUGAGUAAGAGCAUAGCUGUUGGGACCCGAAAGAUGGUGAACUAUGCUUGAAUAGGGUGAAGCCAGAGGAAACUCUGGUGGAGGCUCGCAGCGGUUCUGACGUGCAAAUCGAUCGUCAAAUUUGGGCAUAGGGGCGAAAGACUAAUCGAACCAUCUAGUAGCUGGUUCCUGCCGA